rnacentral:snoRNA from 1 species
UUCAAUACAUAUUUUCACUUCCGGUAUUACCAGCUUUACAAGUUUAUUGCCUCUAUCUUGACUCAAGCACAAAUGGCUGGAAGGAUAAUAAAAAUUACUUUAAUGUCCCAUGUUAAAUCUGUUUUCUGGCAAGAAGAAGAUUCGUUUGCAAAAAAGUGUCUUUCUUUUUAAUCUUGAUUACAGUUCGCUUGUGGGUUACAAAA